AAGAAAUCAACCGAGAUUCCGAAAGUAGCGGCGAGCGAAAUUGGACUAGCCCUUAAGCUUUACACGCGUUAGACGAACGGUCUGGAAAGUCCGACGAUACAGGGUGAUAGUCCCGUAGUUGACGACGUGUGUUCAGUGAAAUCGAGUAGGGCGGGACACGUGAUAUCCUGUCUGAAUAUGGGGGGACCAUCCUCCAAGGCUAAAUACUACUGACUGACCGAUAGUGAACCAGUACCGUGAGGGAAAGGCGAAAAGAACCCCUGUGAGGGGAGUGAAAUAGAACCUGAAACCGUGUACGUACAAGCAGUAGGAGCAGGCUUUGUCCUGUGACUGCGUACCUUUUGUAUAAUGGGUCAGCGACUUAUAUUCAGUGGCAAGGUUAACCAUCUAGGGGAGCCGUAGGGAAACCGAGUCUUAACUGGGCGUUCAGUCUCUGGAUAUAGACCCGAAACCAGGUGAUCUAGCCAUGGGCAGGUUGAAGGUUGAGUAACAUCAACUGGAGGACCGAACCGACUAAUGUUGAAAAAUUAGCGGAUGACUUGUGGCUAGGGGUGAAAGGCCAAUCAAACCUGGAGAUAGCUGGUUCUCCCCGAAAGCUAUUUAGGUAGCGCCUCGGACGAAUACUACUGGGGGUAGAGCACUGUUAAGGCUAGGGGGUCAUCCCGACUUACCAACCCUUUGCAAACUCCGAAUACCAGUAAGUACUAUCCGGGAGACACACGGCGGGUGCUAACGUCCGUCGUGGAGAGGGAAACAACCCAGACCGCCAGCUAAGGUCCCAAAUUACUACUAAGUGGGAAACGAUGUGGGAAGGCUCAGACAGCCAGGAUGUUGGCUUAGAAGCAGCCAUCAUUUAAAGAAAGCGUAAUAGCUCACUGGUCGAGUCGGCCUGCGCGGAAGAUGUAACGGGGCUAAGUAGUAAACCG
rnacentral:rRNA from 1 species